GACGAACCGUGCGAACGUUGUUCGGAAUCACUGGGCUUAAAGGGCGCGUAGGCGGGCCGGCAAGUCAGGGGUGAAAUCCCACGGCUCAACCGUGGAAGUGCCUUUGAUACUGCCGGUCUGGAGGGAGGUAGGGGCGUGCGGAACUUCCGGUGGAGCGGUGAAAUGCGCAGAUAUCGGGAGGAACACCGGUGGCGAAGGCGGUUCUCUGGGCCUUACCUGACGCUGAGGAGCGAAAGCGUGGGGAGCGAACAGG
rnacentral:rRNA from 1 species